AACUGGCUUGUGGCACCCAACCGUUCAUAGCGAUGGUGCUUUUCGAUCCUUCGAUGUCGGCUCUUCCCAUCAUACUAAAGCAGAAUUUAAUAAGCGUUGGAUUGCUCAGGCAUUGGCCACCACCUUACAUCCUGUAUCUAGAGGGCUUCCUAUGCUUUGAACACCAAGAAAGCAGCUUUACACAACACAACACCUUUCCUUUAUUUUUUGGCCGUCAGCUGCGUAAAGCAGAGGAACCAAAUAUUCAGAGUGCACUCAUGUCAGAGGAAGACCUGCUGAA
rnacentral:ncRNA from 1 species